AACCCAGAGCAGGGUCCAGAAGGGGAAGAUCCCUCUCUUGGGACCAAGAACAUGGCAUCCAAGCUCAAACCAGAUUCCUUCUUGGGCCUUCAGCAGCUCCCAGUGAUUGAGCAGUCGAUCGAUCAAUCUAUUGAUGGAUGGCCUGGUAAGCUUCCUCCGCGUUCCAGAUCCUCUCAAAUGAACUCCAGACGCCAGUCGCCGGGCUGCUUACUACACACAGAUGGGAGCAGGGAGGGAAUGGGUUUAUCAAACAACCAGACAAACAAUAAAGAAAACAGGCUCUAAGAA